GACGAACGCUGGCGGCGUGCUUAACACAUGCAAGUCGAGCGGUAAGGCCCUUUCGGGGGUACACGAGCGGCGAACGGGUGAGUAACACGUGGGUGACCUGCCCUCAGCUCUGGGAUAAGCCUGGGAAACCGGGUCUAAUACUGGAUAUGACUCCAUGACGCAUGUUGUGGGGUGGAAAGCCUUGUGCGGCUGAGGAUGGGCCCGCGGCCUAUCAGCUUGUUGGUGGGGGAUGGCCUACCAAGGCGACGACGGGUAGCCGGCCUGAGAGGGCGACCGGCCACACUGGGACUGAGACACGGCCCAGACUCCUACGGGAGGCAGCAGCGGGGAAUCUUGCGCAAUGGGCGAAAGCCUGACGCAGCGACGCCGCGUGAGGGAUGACGGCCU
rnacentral:rRNA from 1 species